CCCCUGUCCGCAGGCACCGUGCGGGCAGGGGAGGAAGAGAGGACCUGGGAGCUCACCCUGCAGCUCCUCUGGGUCCUUCUUGCGCUAGCACAGAGCGUUGCCGCGGUUACCAUGGCAACGUUACUGCUCUUGCGAGAGUCAACUCUAGCCCUGGAGCUACGGGCUAGAGUUCACUCUCAACACCGUAACCCCCAUGGAUUCCUGGUGGUCGCAGUGGUGAGAGUGAACUCUAGCCCCAUAAACACACUGCCCCCACACACACACACACCAUACACAUUCACACACUGCCCCCAUACACACCAUACACAUUUACACACAUUGCCUCACACACACACAUACACUGCCCACCCAUAUACACACAGACCCCCAUACACAGCCCCCAUACUAACAUUGCCACACACAUACACUGCCCACACACCCUACACAUUCACACACUACACCCCCACACACACACUGAACCUUUCACACACAUUGCACCACUGCCCCUAUUCCCUACUACAGCCUCAUAUCCCAGCAGACCCCAGGUAAGUUGUCAAACUGUUCUUAAACGGUUUGAC